rnacentral:SRP_RNA from 1 species
GCCGGGCCAGUGGCACGUGCCUGUAGUCCCAGCUACUCAGGAGGCUGAGGCUGGAGGAUCUCUUGAGCCCAGGAGUUCUGGGCUGUAGUGUCCUAUACCAAUUGGGUGUCCGCACUAAGUUCGGCAUCAAUAUGGUGACCUCCCAGGAGUGGGGGACCCUCAGGUUGUCUAAGGAUGGGUGAACUGGCCCAGUUCAGAAACGGAGCAGGUCAAUACUCCCGUGCUGAUCAGUAGUGGGAUGGCGCCUGUGAAGAGCCACUGCACCCCAGCCUGGACAAUGUAGCAAGACCCUAUCUCU